rnacentral:rRNA from 1 species
ACGUACACUCCUACGGGAGGCAGCAGUGGGGAAUAUUGGACAAUGGGCGCAAGCCUGAUCCAGCCAUGCCGCGUGAGUGAUGAAGGCCCUAGGGUUGUAAAGCUCUUUCACCGGUGAAGAUAAUGACGGUAACCGGAGAAGAAGCCCCGGCUAACUUCGUGCCAGCAGCCGCGGUAAUACGAAGGGGGCUAGCGUUGUUCGGAUUUACUGGGCGUAAAGCGCACGUAGGCGGACUAUCAAGUCAGGGGUGAAAUCCCGGGGCUCAACCCCGGAACUGCCUUUGAUACUGGUAGUCUUGAGUUCGAGAGAGGUGAGUGGAAUUCCGAGUGUAGAGGUGAAAUUCGUAGAUAUUCGGAGGAACACCAGUGGCGAAGGCGGCUCACUGGCUCGAUACUGACGCUGAGGUGCGAAAGCGUGGGGAGCAAACAGGAUUAGAUACCCUAGUAGUCCCA